UACGUAGGGUCCGAGCGUUGUCCGGAAUUACUGGGCGUAAAGAGCUCGUAGGUGGUUUGUCGCGUUGUUCGUGAAAACUCACAGCUUAACUGUGGGCGUGCGGGCGAUACGGGCAGACUGGAGUACUGCAGGGGAGACUGGAAUUCCUGGUGUAGCGGUGGAAUGCGCAGAUAUCAGGAGGAACACCGGUGGCGAAGGCGGUUCUCUGGGCAUUACCUGACGCUGAGGAGCGAAAGCGUGGGGAGCAAACAGG
rnacentral:rRNA from 1 species